AGUGAACGCUGGCGGCGUGCUUAACACAUGCAAGUCGAACGAGAACGGAUUAUAGCUUGCUAUAAUUGUCAGCUAAGUGGCGCACGGGUGGGUAAUGUAUAGGUAAUAUGCCUCUUACUAAGGGAUAACAAAUGGAAACGUUUGCUAAUACCUUAUACUCCUUAUUAACAGAAGUUAAUAAGGGAAAGAUUUAUUGGUAAGAGAUUAGCCUGUAUUGUAUCAGUUAGUUGGUGGGGUAAUGGCUUACCAAGACUAUGACACAUAACUGGUUUGAGAGGAUGAUCAGUCACACUGGAACUGAGACACGGUCCAGACUCCUACGGGAGGCAGCAGCGGGGAAUAUUGCACAAUGGACGAAAGUCUGAUGCAGCAACGCCGCGUGGAGGAUGACACAUUUCGGUGCGUAAACUCCUUUUAUAUGAGAAGAUAAUGACGGUAUUAUAUGAAUAAGCACCGGCUAACUCCGUGCCAGCAGCCGCCGCGG
rnacentral:rRNA from 1 species